CCCCAUAAAGCCCCAUAAAGGCCCAUAGCGCCCCCCUAAAACCCCAUAGCACCCCAUAAAACCCCAUAAAGCCCCAUAAAGCCCCAUAGCACCCCAUAGAGAACCACAGCACCCCAUAAAGCCCCAUAUGUCCCCAUAGCACCCCAUAGAGAACCACAGCACCCCAUAAAGCCCCAUAUGUCCCCAUAGCACCCCAUAAAGCCCCAUAGCGCCCCCCUAAAACCCCACAGCACCCCAUAAAACCCCGUAAAGCCCCAUAAAGGCCCCCUAAAACCCCAUAGAGCCCCAUAGCGCCCCAUAAAGCCGCAUAGCACCCCAUAAAGCCCCAUAGCGCCCCCCUAAAACCCCAUAGCACCCCAUAAAACCCCGCAAAGCCCCAUAUCACCCCAUAGCACCCCAUAAAACCCCAUAGCACCCCAUAAAACGCCAUGGCACCCCAUAAAACACCACGGCACCCCAUAAAGCCCCAUAAAAGCCCCAUAAAGGCCCAUAUAUGGUUUUAUGGGGGGGGCGGAGGUGACGCCGCCCUCAGGAGGGGACAGUGCCACCGCCGCGACCUCUGACCCCACAGCCGCUGCCGUGGGGACACCCCACUGUCACCCCACGUGUCCCACUGUCACCCCAUUAUCAGCCCACUGUCACCCCAUUAUCAGCCCAU
ensembl:lncRNA